UAGGUUUUCAUUAAAAUUUGCUGAAAAUUUGAUUUGGGGAUGGUUUGUUCUUUUAGCAUCGAUCUCAGCAUCUCUCUCACUCACUAUCGCUCUCACUCUUACUAGAUACACUCUCAGUGGGCUCUCUCCCUCGGUCGCGAAUCGCUUUAAUCUUCAACCUCCAACUCUCUCUCCCCCUCUCUCUUGUAAGUUCUUCGUACUGCAGGACAAGAUUCAAUUCUUCAAAUUUUCUGAUUGAACAAAAAAGAAAUUGGGUUUUUUGAUAUUGAUGUUUGAUUGGGUUUUGAUUGGCACCUGUACAACCACCACCGUCUCUGGAGGCAACAGUUGACCAAUUUUUUCAAAACCCAAGCAGAGUUGCUUGGGACUUCGAGGAAAACAUUGUAGACCGACAUUGUGAACUUUGCUGGAAGGCUUUAAUUUGACUCUGGAAGAUGUUAAAGUUCAGUACAAUGGGCCUUUUGUGUUGUCUAGAUUGAUACAAAUAGAAAAGCUUAUGCCUGUGUAGUGAGGCAGUAUUCCGGUGCUGAAAACAGAAAGGUUCACCAAGUUGUUGAUCCAAGAAGUCAUGGAAAUGUGCUAACUUCCCGAAGAAAGAUAAGUUUGAAUCCUUAGCUCCUUCUUGAAGAAAGAACAAUUAGCUGGAAUUCUGCAGAAACUGCCCUGCAGCACAGCUCUUUUUGGUUUUUUUUUACCCUACUUACUGAUCUUCAAAUAUCCUGAAAUUUUGACAUGUUUCUGUUCUGUUAGUUAGCAAAAGAUCUGGAAAGUUUCAUCUUAUUCUGAAGCAACCUGAUUUUUCGGUGAUUUUUCCAAAUUUGGUCUGCAUUUGGGAAAAUUACAGCAUUUUGAAUGUAUCUUCUGAUUAUCUGUUGGGAUUUGAACUGUUAUUUGAAUCAUUUAACCUCUGGUUCUUAUCUCGAGAUUCAUGUGGGUUUAUGGAAAAUGGAAAUAAAGUUGAAGUCUUUGUUCAUAAGAAGCAGAACUCAGAUGAGGUUGUCAAAAGUGGUAGCUCUUCACAAAACCAAUACUUAAGUAAGUGUUGUUAUGCAGUAUGCAAGGAUAUCCAUGGGGUAACUUGGGUUGAUGACAAAAAGGCAACAAAUGUAGAAGCUACAUACACAGGACUAAUGGGUCUAAAGAGGCAAAAGUCUGUGAUCCUACUUGGUGGCCUUGCAAAGAUUUGUGUUCUUUGCGAUCUUUGAAACCUUUGAGGAAGGUAGCUAAUGAAAGCGUUGCAACUUUGUGGGGGAGAGGAUGAAUGCUGAUGCAGCUUUGGUCUUUGCCUACUACAAAGAGCUGUCACUGACCCAACAUUUAUCUUUUUCGCAAUGGUACGAAGGAUAUCAAGUGAUAAGAAGUGGCACAGCUAGCUGCACACAUAUUGCAUUGGCAUUGGAGUAAUAUUACUCUAUAAUUAUUUGCUUUUGGGUUAGAAGUAGUCUAGUUUUGCAUGGUGUUUUCUUAAAUUAGGUUCUGAAUUGGCUUCAAGCUUUUUGACUUUGAUGAUAUAUAUAUAACAAGCCUUUUGUAUUGUUCCAAAAUGAAUGAUGUCCAUAUGGAUAACAACCAAUGCAAGAUUACAACAUAGGUUGUCUCACCAUGAAAAUGAA